GACGAACGCUGGCGGCGUGCCUAAUACAUGCAAGUCGAACGAGUGGCGGACGGGUGAGUAAUGUCUGGGAAACUGCCUGAUGGAGGGGGAUAACUACUGGAAACGGUAGCUAAUACCGCAUACCAUCGGAUGUGCCCAGAUGGGAUUAGCUAGUAGGUGGGGUAACGGCUCACCUAGGCGACGAUCCCUAGCUGGUCUGAGAGGAUGAUCCGCCACACUGGGACUGAGACACGGCCCAGACUCCUACGGGAGGCAGCAGUGGGGAAUUUUGGACAAUGGGCGCAAGCCUGAUCCAGCCAUGCCGCGUGUCUGAAGAAGGCCUUCGGGUUGUAAAGGACUUUUGUCAGGGAAGCGGUACCUGAAGAAUAAGCACCGGCUAACUACGUGCCAGCAGCCGCGGUAAUAC
rnacentral:rRNA from 1 species